UUUAACAGCCUGCCCACCCUGGAAA
rnacentral:snRNA from 1 species